rnacentral:rRNA from 1 species
CCAGCAGCCGCGGUAAUUCCAGCUCCAAUAGUGUAUCUUAAUGUUGUUGCUGUUAAAAAGCUCGUAGUUGAACUUCUGUCGGCAGCGACGACUCUUAGUCUUAGCUGGCGGCAUCCGCCCUGGAAUCCCAUACGCCGUUAAACGCUGUGGGGAGAAGGGGUAUUUUACUUUGAAGAAAUUAGAGUGUUCCAGGCAGGCGAUGCUUGCAUAGUACAGCAUGGAAUAAUGGAAUAGGACUAGCCAUUUCAUUGGUUUGAUGGUCUAGUAAUGAUUAACAGGGACAGUUGGGGGCAUUCGUACUGGGCAGUCAGUGGUAAAAUACGAUGACCUGCUCAAGACGCACU